GGCUCUGCACAGUGGCGGUCAAUGAGGUUUAUCUGAGAUGCAAUUAUUGCUCAUUGAAGCUGUUCCCAAUACCCUGCCAUGACAACCUGCAAUAUAUUCUGCAGUGUCAAUUUUUGACAGUCUCUAACAAGA
rnacentral:snRNA from 1 species